AGGGAUUUAGCUCAGUGGUGUAAGUGCCUGCUUGGUAAACAGGAGAUGGUGAGUUCAAUUCCUG
rnacentral:tRNA from 1 species